rnacentral:rRNA from 1 species
AUGGCGUGGAGCAGCACUAGUGAAUCUGGAGAUGAGAGUACUCCUACAUCCCCCUCCCACGGCGGAUCUCCCUCGCCGGGGGAUGGCUGUGGCGAAGGAGCUGGCACCUUCGCCGAGUUUCUUGCUGAAGGGCGGCGGCAGGGCGGAUGGCUACCCUCUGUGCUUCUGGCGCCGGCCCUAUGCGGGCAUUGCCAUAAGAUCGAGGAUCUUAGGCGGGAUUGGAACAUCGACAGCGACGGGAGCGAUCACUGGAUGACGGAGCUGAACCUGCAAGGGUCGCUCGCCGCCCAGAUCGCCUUCGAGGGGAACUCCUGCUUCAGGUGCGUCAAGUUGGUCUUCGAGGCGACCAAAUGGAAAGGCGACGGCGACACACCACUGCACUACGCUGCCAGGUCCGGAAACCUCAGGAUGCUUUUCCACUUGGUUUGUCAGCUCGGUGAGGAGUACGGCCAUAAGGGGGUGGAGCUGUUGCUGAGGAAGCUCAACGUUCAUGGGGAGACGGCCUUGCAUGAGGCCAUCAGGUUGGGAACAAACUCAAUGUUCAUGGUCGGGAUGCUCAUGUGGGUGGAUCCAGGGCUGGCGCUGCAUCAUGCACCUGGCAGCACCUCACCGCUAUAUCUGGCUGUCUCCUUGAGACACAAGGACAUCGCAGAGAUGUUGCACAGCACAAGUGGCGGCAGCCUCUCUUACUCCGGCCCAGAUGGACAAAACGCACUGCAUGCUGCCGCGGUUCACCCUCCACAUAGACAGAACGGUAUGGUAGAAAUGCUACUAGAUUGGAACAAGGAUCUUACCGAAGAGAAGGACCUAAAUGGCAGCACCCCUCUUCACUCUGCGGUUUCGGCGCUGUACUCUGAAGAUCGCAUGCGUAGAUGUUACACUCUUGUAUGUGGCAAUGGCCUAUGGUAUAGAGCUUUCCCCUAUAUGUUCCCCAAUAUGACCAGGUUUCCGAUGGAGAAACAGGCAGCAUGGCAUAUACUUGAAGCGAACCCAUCUUCAGCAUAUCAGCAUGAUAAUAACGGUUUGUUUCCUGUACACAUCGCUGCCUUGAUGGAUAAGAAGGUUGCCAUCCGUAUUCUUCUCAAAGGAUGCCGUGGUUGCAUCACUCUUCCUGAUAAGCAGGGGAGAUCCUUUCUUCACAUUGCUGUCCGGAACAAGGUCCACCAUAUAGUAAAAUAUGCUUGUGAAGCACCAGUUUUUGCGCCCAUACUGAACGCUCGGGACAAUGAUGGCAACACCGCACUACACCUAGCUGUGGAGGUUGAGGAUCUAAUCAUCUUCUGUCAUCUCCUGCGGAAUCCAAAAGUAUUAUUAAAUGUGAGAAACAACAAGGAUCAAACUCCGCUGGAUCUAGCAAGGAGACGACGAAAAUAUUCCUAUAUCCAGAAUCCGGAGAGAGUGAUAUACAUGACACUCAUCGAUGCCAGAGCUAGUCAUGGUAGCUUCUGGAGAGAUCGUGUUCAACAUCUCUGCAUUCAGAAUCAGUUGUCAAUCAAGAAAGAUGAAGAGAAUCAAUCAGAGGAACAGGAUGAGGCGGACGGUAAGAAUGUAGAGGAAGAAGACAGAACAGAGGCGGGCCCGGUAAAAGAGCUCGUACAACUGUUGAAGCAAAAAGUGUAUGAAGAGAAAAAAGAGGCGAUAGAGAAAAACGACUCGGAUCAGAUGAAUGAUAUAACCCGGACACUUGGCCUUUUAUCAGUACUCAUCACAACGAUGACAUUCGGUGCAACCUUCGCCGUACCUGCAGCAGUCAAAGCAGGCAACAGCAGCAACGGUGGCAUUCCAGCAGGAGUUUCCAGUAGCUGGUAUUUCCAUGCGUUCAUGACGGCCAACGCGACUGCUUUCGUCUGCUCCUUAAUAGCUACACUUUGCCUCAUGUUCUCCGGCAUGUCCAUCAUUAAACUGCAAGAUCGCCGAAAAUACUUCCAGGUAGCCCUCUUCUUCACCCCGGGUUCGCUCACCAGCUUGACUGUUGCAUUUGGCCUUGGCCUACGUACGGUGCUGGCUCCAGUAGGUCGUACGCUUUCCGAUGCCAUAUUCGUCCUCAGCUCUCUUGUGCUGCUCUAUCCAAUGUUGGAUUUUGUUACACGACUGGUUUGGACUUACCAACCGCUCUCUGUCAGGCGGGGCCACAUAUUCGUAUGCUGGAUAUUUAUAGGCCGUACCUUUCAUGUGUGUCUAGGUCGGUUUUGGCCCAUCAUAUUUAUCUUUAUUAUGUCAACCUCAAAUAAGACUUGGCGUUGA